rnacentral:lncRNA from 1 species
AAGAAACUUCCCUUUUUCUCUGCAUUCUAGCAAGGGCUAAAGAAAAAGGUAGUCAUUUUGCACAGUAGUGUUGAUGAAGACAUUUAGAGGCAGUAUCAUUCUGGCAAUCAGUGUGCUAUCAAGAUGCUGAUGAUUAGAGUCUUCUGACUGAUAUUUGGGCCCCUGGAGGAACCACAAACUCCAGAUGAAUGACUGACAUGACUAGAGAAACUGGACAGAUGGUUCCCUACUCUUGCAAAUGAGGAAUUGGAGCCACAACCACCCAGAAAACUAGGAGGAAAGUUGAAUGGUGGAACACAGCAUGAUGUAAAGCAGGACCACUGUGGUAGACUCCAGAAGUCUGCAGAAUCACCUGGAAAGAGGCCCAUCCUCAGCUCCAUUCCCAAGAAUCAGAGUCUCUGAUUAAGGAAGGGAAGAAAUGUCAAGGGGGAGAAGAUGGAAGAGAUGACAUCUAAAUUAUGAAGAAUGGUGAAGAGCUUCUGUCUUCUUGCUGUCUGGAAUACUGCUAAGAGAAGCAGAGAAAAAAAUAGAAG